UAGAUCGCUGGUCCAAUGGUAGGACGCUGGUCUCCGAAGCCGGAAGUAGUAGUUCGAUCCUGCUGCGAUCUGUC
rnacentral:tRNA from 1 species